GACGAACGCUGGCGGCGUGCUUAACACAUGCAAGUCGAACGGGCCCGCUCUCUUUUUUGGGGGUGGGUUGAGUGGCGAACGGGUGAGUAUCACGUGAGUAACCUGCCCCCCGCUCCUGGAUAACUGCUUGAAAGGGCGGCUAAUACGGGGUGUGCCGGCUGGUCCGCAUGGGCCUGGUCGGGAUAGUUUCAUCUUCGGGUGUUUCGGUGGGGGAUGGGCUCGCGGCCUAUCAGCUUGUUGGUGGGGUGAUGGCCCACCAAGGCGGUGACGGGUAGCCGGCCUGAGAGGGUGGGCGGCCACACUGGGACUGAGACACGGCCCAGACUCCUGCGGGAGGCAGCAGUGGGGGGUAUGGCACAAUGGGCGGAAGCCUGAUGCAGCGACGUCGCGUGAGGGAUGGAGGCCUUCGGGUGGUGAACCUCUUUCUCCGGUGGUGAAGGCCCUGUCCGUUGCGGCGGGGUUGACGGUAGCCGGGGAUGAAGCGCCGGCUAACUACGUG
rnacentral:rRNA from 1 species